UUAAACGUUAGAGUUUGAUCCUGGCUCAGAACGAACGCUGG
rnacentral:rRNA from 1 species